CGUACGGGUGAGUAACACGUGGAUGAUCUACCUCUUUGUGGGGGAGUAACUCUGGGAAACCGGAGAUAAUACCGCAUAAGCUCGUGAGAGGAAAGCAGCAAUGCGCAGAGAGAGGAGUCCGCGGCCGAUUAGUUAGUUGGCGGGGUAAUGGCCCACCAAGACGAUGAUCGGUAUCCGGCCUGAGAGGGCGCACGGACACACUGGAACUGAAACACGGUCCAG
rnacentral:rRNA from 1 species